AGACUACAGUACAAUUCAGAAGAUACUAUUGUUCUUGGUUUGGAAGUAGAGGACAAGACAAGAAGAAGGCCUACUGAAAAUGUGUGCAUCCGGGUUGAGGUAGUAGGUUGUAUGGUUUAGAAUGACACCCUGGGAGUUAACUGUACAACCUUCUAGCUUUCCUUGGAGCACACUCAUGACAUCAAGCAAAGAGAUGACCCUCAUCAUGUCUUUCAAAGCAUAGCAUGGCUUGGUUUACAUUAGCCAACUGUUUUUGAGGGCCAUGAUGUCAAAAUCUCACCGUCAAUGUUUUUUCUCUGUGCACUAUUUUAAUUUAAGUGUGCAUGAUAAAAGAUGAUAAAUAUAGGAAGUAAAUUACCUAAAUGUAUUACAUAAUGGGAAAAGAGAGAGUUAUGUCUGUUUCUUAUUUUAAAUGUGCAGCUGUUUGAAGAAAACACAAAUAUCAAGUCUCAUGAUGAUCCACAAUUAGAUUUGCUUUGUUUUAUCUGUAUGCUCUCAUUAGAAUGAAUUGUUGGAGUGUUUUGUGAGGUGACAAUGGGUAUCGUGUCAUAGCCUUUCCUUUCCCUACACAGGCUUCUAAUUGACCUUUCAUGCCAGUAGACCCACGGUCAGUCUGCCUUUAGGGGCACAAAACCUUCAGUUAGUGUUAGGUUGAAAAGUUGUGUAUUUUUAGAGUGGUUGUCAUCCACUCUGGUAGGGAGGGAGGAAUGACCACACUGCGUCAAUCACACAGGGGAUCUGUAAUGUUAGACAUCCACUGUAUAGUAUCUCCCCAAGCACAAAAAAAGCACACAGCAAACAAAGGAUUUUUAAAAUUGUUCUUUCACUAUCCAUGAAUAUAUAGCAUAUUAAAGGAAUUACUGAUUUAUCUGCAGAGGGAAUACAGUGAAUGCCCAAUUCUUCAUGCUUUUGAAAAUUAAUUAUAGUGUCUUGCUAUCGUGUGGAUGUGUUUUUUGUAAGGCCAUUAUGUAAUAGAUCUAAUAUAAUUUGUAUUUUGUUAAAACAGCAAUUCACCAUUUACUGCUGGUGAUGGAGUUCGCAGCAAGGGAAUCUGUUACGUUUCACAUCCUAAUACUGUCAAGCUAUUCUGUUAUUGCUAAAGGUCCAUUUCAAUUUCUCACCAAGACAUCAUUUUGUGGUGGAACCUAUUUCACACAACCAGUUUCCCCUGGUUUCAUAUCGCUCCCUGAGUCAUUUGAGUGUUCCUGUGUUUUCGUAGCCUCCGUCAGUCAAGGCGACUCCAGUGCAGGCCAGGGCCUUCCCACAUGAAAAAAUACACUGAACAAAAAUAUAAAUGCAACAUGUAAAGUGUUGGUUCCAUGUUUUAUGAUCUGAAAUAAAAUAUUCCAGACAUUUUCCAUAUGCACAAAAGCUUAUUUCUCUAAAAUGUUGUGCACUCAUUUGUUUACAUCCCUGUUAGUGAGCAUUUAUCCUUUGCCAAGAUAAUCCAUCCACCUGACAAGUGUGGCAUAUCAAGAAGCUGAUUAAACAGCAUGAUCAUCACACAGAUGGGCCUUGUGCUGGGGACAAUAAAAGGCCACUCUAAGAUCUGCAGUUUUGUCACACAACACAAUGCCACAGAUGUCUCAAGUUUUGAGGGAGCGUGCAAAUGACAAGCUGACUGCAGGAAUGUCCACCAUAGCUGUUGCCAGAGAAUUUAAUGUUAAUUUCUCUACCAUAAGAUGCUGACCACACCACCCACGAUGCGUGCGCGAGUGUUUCAAUAUAAAUGUACACAUACAUGUUAUUCAAUCAUUUAAUCCAAACUGCUCGAGCGUCUGCGUAGCAGGCGCUAAAAUAGACCUUGGUUCUAUUUUUGAUGCUUGAUGCGCUGCAAGUCUUGACUCUCCCAUCUCCUCAUUGGUUUUUAGGAGUACAGUAUAUUCUGUACCCACGUGGGGGAUUGAAAGAUGAUCUGAGGUUCACACAUUCCAGUUGGUGGCGGUAAUGCACCUUAAAGUUGGUUGCCAACCGCUAUAUAAAGUCAGAAGAAGACUGAAGGAGGAGAGAUUACUAGAAACUAACUAGGUUUCCUCUUAUCUGUGGAUGAAUUAUCGGAGUAGAGAACACACAAUUUUGGUGACUCAAAAUGGGUAAAAAUUCAACAAGAAAAAAGGACGUGGUGCUUUUCAGAUACCGUGACAAGAUCCUGAGGCCAUUGUCGUGCCACUCAUCCGCCACCAUCACCUCAUGUUUCAGCAUGAUAAUGGACGGCCCCAUGUCGCAAGGAUCUGUAUACAAUUCCUGGAAGCUGAAAAUGUCCCAGUUUUUUCAUGGCCUGCAUACUCACCAGACAUGUCACCCAUUGAGCAUGUUUGGGAAAGGCUGGAUCGCCGUGUACGACAGCGUGUUACAGUUCCCGCCAAUAUUGAGCAACCUUGCACAGCAAUUGAAGAGUAGUGGGACAAUAUUCCACAGGCCACAAUCAACAGCAUGGUCAACUCUAUGCGAAGGAGAUGUGUCAUGCUGCAUGAGUCAAAUGGUGGUCACACCAAAUACUGACUGGUUUUAUGAUCCACUCCCCUACCUUUUUUAUAAAGGUUUCUGUGACCAACAGAUGCAUAUAUGUAUUACCAGUCAUGUGAAAUCCAUAGAUUAGGGCCCAAUGAAUGUAUUUCAAUUGACUGAUUUCCUUGUGAAUUGUAACUCAGUAAAAUAGUUUAGGUCAAUAUACUAUAGUUUACUAUAGCACUAUCUGUACUAUUUGUGACAUAAAUUGAGUAUGUAGUAUGCUUAUUGGUCAUAGUAUACUUAGUAUGCCAAAAGAUCCCGAAUGUCGUACUGAAUUCGCCAAAAUAUGAAGUAUACAAGCAGUGGAAACUAUUUCUGAGCUUUUGGGGCCCAUAAUGCAAUUCUUCAGAAAAUGGGCAUGGUUUCACAACAUUUUCAGAUUUGAAGAAAAUGCAGCCGAAGUCCGACGAGCAGAUCCAAACUCAUUGCUUUAACUAAUUAUGACAAUUGUUAAGAAAAUGUUCAGCAAUGUAAUAAAGUAAUGCCUUUUCAAAUAAGUUA